GUCAGGAUGGCCAAGCGGUCUAAGGCGCUGCGUUGAGGUCUCAAUCUGCUUCUCCAGGCGUGGGUUCGAAUCCCACUCCUGACA
rfam:Nematostella vectensis strain CH2 x CH6 NEMVEscaffold_232_Cont19873, whole genome shotgun sequence.